AUUGGGUAGGGAGGCGGGGAUCUAUCUAUCUCCUUCUCCCCCCGGCACAUGGCUGCUGCGGCGGCUGCGGGGGCGGCGGCUGCGGCUGGGGUGGGGCACGUGGUGGAGCGGUUCCGGGCGCGGCUGCGGGAGGAGGGGGAGGAGGAGGAGGCGGGCGGAGGGGCGGCGGCGGUGGUGCGGGUCUACGUGGAGGUGCUCUCGGAGCUCACCUUCAACUGCAAGCCCAUCAUCACCGAGCUCACCAUCAUCGCCGGGCAGCACGCCGCGCUCGCCGCGAGGGGGAUCGCCGAGGCCAUCUGCGCGCGCAUCUGCGAGGUGUCUGCUGACCAGAAAUUACCAUCAUUGUAUCUGCUAGACAGUAUUGUGAAGAACAUAGGACGAGAAUAUGUAGGGCAUUUUGCCGCUAGGUUGCAGAAGGUUUUUUGUGAUGCCUACAGGAAAGUUCACCGCAAUCAGCAUGCUGCAAUGCGGCACCUCUUUGGUACCUGGUCACAAGUUUUCCCUUCUUCUGUGCUACGAGGAAUUGAGGAUGAGCUUCAAUUUUCUCCCUUAGAAAAUAAACGCCCUGCUGCAGUAUCAGAUAUCCGACAGUCAGAGUCGAUAUCUCCUAGACCGUCUCAUGGCAUUCAUGUAAAUCCAAAGUAUUUAGAAGCACAACAACAAUUCAAGCACACAACGUCGGUGCAUCAGCCAAUAACCCGAGGCAAUCGGCAAAUGACUGAUCUGGAGGAGGAUCAGAUAAAUGGGUUAACAUCUAAAAGCUCACGAGGAUGGCCGGCAACUAAUUUAAAGCUCCAGAAAUCUGCCAUGCCGUAUGCUGAUGGUCUUGAUCAACAAGAGACAUUUCAUUCGCAUACUGGAGGACCAUUGCCCAAUUCAAGAAGAACCAUGUCAAGAUCACCACCUCUUGAUGUGCUCCCUAGAAAUGCAUCCCCCAAGAGAGCAUUGGAGAGGCCGCCACUAUCCCAUUCUGUUCUAGGACCUGACCCUAGAAGGUUGCCCGAUCGAAACGGUUGGUUUGAUCGGAAGUGGGCUUUUGAGGAUGGUGCACCACGGCCUCCAAUGAGCAUACUUGAUGAAGAAUAUAGGAAACAAAGUGCAAGGGAACUUAUUGAUGCUUAUGGAAAUUCUCAAGGAAAAGAUGUUGAUGAAAGGCUUUCCAAGAUGCAACGUCUAGAUUCAAAUGGCAUGGCAAGCAGAUCUACUGCACAAAAAUGGCUUGCUUCAGAGGAAGAAGAGUAUACUUGGGAGGAUAUGAGUCCUACUUUAGCUGAUCGAAACAGGACCAGCGUGCCUUCUUUACCUCUUCCUGGAUCUGUGAGAGCUGGAUUUCCUGGGCCAAACAGCGUACUACUGGAGUCUGAUAUUAUGAGGCACAGUUGGCCAGCCCAAGCUCCUCGACCAGCAAUUGAUGGCUCAGCACUAAAUCUCGAAGAUAGGAUUCCUGCUAAUGGGCCUGUUGACAGAGCCGCCAAUAGGAGAUAUCCAGGCAAUUUUGGUGUUCAGAAUGGAGCCUUUUUAGAAUACCAGAGUUCUGAACAUACUCUUGAUCCUGGGAGAACUGCCAUGCCAGCUCCACCUUGGCAGCAGACUAUUGGUCAGCCCUUGCGGGUACAAGCACCCCAACCUGCAUCAAUUCUGAAUAGAAUGCCGCUGCCUACUGAUAGUGAAGUGCCAGUCAAGAGGUUGGCCACUGGUGGUACAUAUGAUGCACUGAAUGUAGACAUUCCUUUGUUGGAGAAGCACAGGUCCUCACCUGCUCAUGCUCCAAUGGAAUGGCCUCUUCAUACACAGUCACUAACUAUACAACCAACUCCAUCUGAUACCAGACAUCCUAGAGGUGCAGCAGAUAGUCUAGAUUCUAGGCCAUAUAUUAGUCAAGGAGCCAAUUCAUCUGUUUUUGUUCCACAGCAUCAAUAUGAUGCCUUGGAUCGGAGAACAAUAAACACUGAUGAUUUAGCUCAACCAUCAUAUCAGCAUCCUGAUUUGUUGCCAUUGAAUCAACAAAAUCAGGGCACAAUUUUGGGAAACCAAGCUCAACCUCACCACCCGCCGCAAUUUCUUCCCCAUCCUCAUUCUCACCUUCAGGAGACAGUUAGAAGCUUUGCACCCAGUAUGUCUGUUGCUCCACAAAAUAUAUUCCAAGGACAAGGAGGUAGUGCAGCUGUUCCUCCAGUUCCACUCCUGCCAAGUUCUUUUCCUGUACCACCUGCAGUGGCACCAUAUGGCUUGCCAUCUAUGCCUGGAUUUCCUCUGCCAUCAUUACCUUCAGGGCCACCUCCUCCAUCUCAGAUAGGUCCAUCAUCAUCCCAAGUUGGGGGCCCUCCAUUUGUCUCUGGAUUGUUAAGUAACCUUAUGCAGCAGGGUGUAAUUUCACUGCAGCCACCCAGCCAACCUCAGGAUUCUGUUGGCGUUGACUUCAAUGUUGACCUCAAGGUACGGAAUGAGUUUGUUAUUAAUGCUCUAUAUCAGGAUCUUCCAAGGCAAUGCAAAACUUGUGGCCUUCGUUUUAAAUGCCAAGAAGAGCAUCGUGCUCACAUGGAUUGGCAUGUUACGAAAAACAGAAAUUCAAAAAAUCGUAAGCAAACUUCACGUAAAUAUUUUGUCACUGUGGGUGAAUGGUUGAGAGCAGCAGAAACAGUAGGAAACGAUGGCGUUCCUUCUUUUGAGCCUGCCGAACCAGUUGCAGACACGAAGGAAGAGAAAGAAUUGGCUGUUCCUGCAGAUGAGGACCAAACUGCAUGUGCUUUAUGUCAGGAACCAUUUGAAGAUUUCUAUAGUGAUGAAACUGAAGAGUGGAUGUACAAAGGUGCAGUUUAUAUGAAUGCACCAGAUGGCAAUGUUUAUGCUCUAGACAGGUCGCAGUUAGGACCUAUUGUCCAUGCUAAAUGUCUGUCUGGGCCAAACAAUACUUAGGCCGGCCUAGUUGGUGGUACUCUUGCCUCAUUUGUUUCAAUUUCGUUGGCUGCGGCUCUUGACAAGACAUGUAAACUACUGGAGAAAUCAGAUUUUGGACAAUCAGUCGGUUAGCUGGCUGGUAACUUCAAAAAUCAAAAGGCACCCAAAGCGACCAAAGGAUGGAAGCAAAAUCAACAGCUUAAUCUCCAGAGUUUCGAAUGGAGGAGCUACCGAGCAGCUGCCUCUUCUUCCUGCCUUUUAUCUUUUUUCAUACCCUUUGGUAUGGGGCAUUCUAGCAUUAACAUGACAGUUUCUUUGGUCGCAUGUAUGACUCAUCUUUCUGGAUAUGUUUGCACAUGUCAAGUUCAGACAAGAGUAUUUUUAAGUAUGCUAUUUAAAUAUAUUUCUGGAAUUCUUGUACCUUCGUUGUUAUUAUAUUUCUGUCCUGUUGCAAUUGGUUACAGGAAUAUCGGACAAUACGUCAUGG